rnacentral:lncRNA from 1 species
AAUCAUUCAUCAGAUCUUGAUAAGUCAAAAUCCCACAAGGAUUAUUUGCACACUAUGAUCCUAUCGUUUUCACGUACUAAAUGAUUAUUCAUGCAAAAUUAAUCCGCGAAGAUAUAUGAAUAAUAUAUGUAUCACACACACUUGUAGAAUGUUUAAUCUGCUCAAUAUUUUAAGUGCUUUUAAGUAGGACGAAGGUUUCAAGGGCACUUGGGCUUAUUUCCGUGUGUUCGUAGCUUAGCAUAACAGGGACACAUUUUUGUUGCCAUAAAUUCCUGGCGACACGCAAUGGCAUCUCAAGCAACAAGUUUUGCAUGCGUGAUGGCACAAAUUCUUUCUUGAUGACUUGUUGCAUCUUCUUGUGUGUUCAUGACUGCAAUCUGUGUUUUUAUACAAAUUAAUCAGAACUUUGUGAUUUGUAUUAAAUAUUGUAUGUGAAUUUUGGGGAAGGGGGCCAAAUUAUAUAAUGUUACUCACUGAUUUUUGGUUUUGGGCUGUUUUUUUAUUUUUUUAGGAGGCCUCCUAAAUUUCCUGCUUCGUCCACUUGAAUACAAACGGUGAAUUCCAAGAAUUGACAUUACUUUGAUUUAGAGAAGUAGAAGAUGUUACGGAUUAAGCUUAAUACCUUCUUUCCGACCAACAUGAACAGAAGGAAACUAAAAACUAGCAAAGAAAAUAUACAGAUUUAUAGGAUUUCAUCCAAGACGUGAGAUUAACACGCUUUCACUAUAAUGACGAAAAGUACGGCUGAAAUGAUUAAGUGAACACUAUGAUCAAACUCCAAGUGGUUCAACCUAUAAUCUACGUACUGUAAAAGGAUUUUAUGAGUGCCCGUACUCUUUUGCUGUUAUGGUGAAAGAAUGUUAAUCUCAUGUCUAGAAUGACUCAUUACAAACCUGUAUGAACAGUAUGAUCAGACUCCACGGGGUCCAACACAAGAAGGGGAAGUAAUUUACUUAAGAGAAUCAGCAGCAUCACUCAAGGUUAAUGCCGUUUCAAAACCCUACCAUAGAAUUUCAUAGAAAAUAUGAAGUUAAGCCAAGUCAUUAUUAUGUAAAUAUUAACCCAGGUUUUGUAGAAUUUUAAUCCCUCUUUACCUUAAAAGAGAGAUAAUCUGAGAUUUAAUAUUCAUUUUUGUUAUGCUGAUUUUCACAUUAAAUCGAUUUGAAAUGAGUUUGGCAAUAAUAAAUUAUUCCAUUCAAAUACACUGUAGCAAUUUCUUCACACGUCAUUACACUGCUAUGCCACUUCCGUUGCAAUAUUUCUCAAUUGCUUUGGAUUUGACACUCUCUCCAUUUUCUCACGCUAUCAACUAUCAACCGUAUCCUAUAACUAUAUUAGUAAUAAUAUUUUUUAAAAUAAAUUUUUCCAGUGCUUUGAAUUUGACACUCUUUUUCCAUUUUCUCACGCUAUCGACUAUCAAUAUGAUCCUAUAAUUUUAUUAGUAAUAAUAUUUUUUGAAAUAAUUUUUUACAUAAAAGUGAUUCUUUUACUUUUAAAUAUCUACUUAAAAAUUUAAGUUAAUAUUUUUUUUACUUAGAAGUAGCUUUUACGAUUAUAACUUUUUUUUUUUUUUACUUUUAAAUAACUUUAAACGAAUUUUUUUUACAAAUAUAAGUAAUUUUUACAUUUUAGAAAUAUUUUUUGUCUUAUUAUUAAUAUGUUUAUUUUUUAAUAAUUUUUUACAUAAAAAUGAUUUUUUACUUAUAUAAUAAAAGUGGUUUAGCAUGGAGUGGAGAUAUAAGAGUUGGUGGGAGGUAUGAAAAGUUGUGUGUUGCAGUAGAAAGAACUGUCUCCCUAUUCCAAAUAAAAUAAAAUAAUAAACAAAAAUAAAAUAUUAAAGUGUCUCCGUGCAUGGAGAGCGACAUGGAGAAAGCUCUUCGUGCACGGAGAGAUAGAUCUCUCUCUCCAUUUUUAUUAUUAUUAUUAUUAUUAUUUUUUGUAAAUUUCAUUUUGAUAAAUUUGUUAGUGUAAAAUAUAUUUUAAAAAUUAAAUAUAUCUAUAUAUUUACUUAAAAAUUUAAGUUAAUAUUUUUUACUUAUAAGUAGCUUUUAUAAUUAUAAAUUUUUUACUUUAAAAUAACUUGAAGUAUUUUUUUGAGAAAAUUGUAGAGAAAAAAUAAUAAAUAUUAAAAAAAUAAUUGAUUUUUUUAAAUAAAAAGAUAAGUUAUGCGUAUUUUUUAACACACGUUUGAUGUACGUUUAACUAUUUUCGAUAUUCAUUUAGAUUAUUCGAUGUGUCUAUGGUAUAGUUCUCGAAAUGAGUUUUGAGAGAAUAUAGAAAAUUUAUUGAUUCGACUACUGUACAAUCGUCGUUGAAUUUUUAAAGUUAGUUUGUUAUCGAAAUUCUCGAAAUAAUGGUUUGGAAAUGCCUAUUUUAAUGCCCCGUAACAUUUUCUACGAUUGGCCGUUUCGCUCACCACUGACGACGUGAAAUAUUAUGUCAUGAGUAUUUCAAAAUGAUAUUAAGAAUGUAAUAUUUUGACUUCGUUUGAUAUCCCGUAAGAAGCUCAAAAAUGGAAAAAAAAAAUAUAAGUAAAAAAAAAAAAUUUGUUUGAGAGCAUUUGCUUUGUGCAAGGAGCCAAACAUGCUCUUGUUUGGCUCUUUGCACAGAUAAAUGUUUUGGAGAGAUAGAUCAUUUUUUUUUAGCAAAUUUCAUUUAGAUAAUUGUGUUAGUGUAAAAUAUAUUUUAAAAAUUAAAUAUAUCUAUAUAUCCACUUAAAAUUUUAAUUUAAUAUUUUUUUACUUAUAAGUAGCUUUUUUACUUUUAAAUAACUUGAAGUAAUUUUUUGAGAAAAUUGUGGAGAAAAAAUAAUAAAAAAUAAUAAAAUAAUUAAUUUUUUAAAGAAAAAAGACGAGUUAUGCUCAUUUUUUUUAGCACACACGUUUGAUGUACGUUUAAUUAUUUUUGAUAUCCAUUUGGAUCAUUCGAUGUGUCUGUAAUAUAGUUCUUGAAAUAAGUUUUGAGAGAAUAUAGAAGAUUUAUUUAUUCUACUAACGUACAAUCGUCGAUGAAUUUUUAAAAUUAGCUUGUUAUCGAAAUUAUCGAAAUAAUAAUUUGAAAAUGCCUAUUUUAACGCCCCGUAACAUUUACUAUGAUUGACCAUUUCGCUCACCAUUAACGACAUACUAUGUCGUGAGUACUUCAAAAUUAUAUCAAGAAUGUAAUAUUUCGAUUUCAUUUGAUAUAUAUAUAUAUAUUUUAACUUUUAUUUGUAGUAAAUUUUUUUAUUAAUGUUUAAUUUUAAAAAAUUACAUAUAUCUAAAUAUUUAAUUAAAAAUGUUGAAGUUAAUAUUUUUUUUUACCUAUAAGUAGCUUUUACAAUUAUAAAUUUUUCAUUACUUUUAAAUAAAUUGAAGUGAUUUUUUUACUUAUAAGUAACUUUUUACAUUGUAAAUAGUGUAAUCUUUUUAUUAAUAUUUAAUUUAAAAAACUAAAUAUAUCUAAAUAUUUAUACUUAAAAUGUUUUAAGUUAAUAUUUUUUUACUUAUAAGUAGCUUUUGCAAUUAUAAAAGAAUGAGAGAUUAAUAUUUUUUUACCUAUAAGUCGCUUUUACAAUUAUCAAUUUUUUAUUACUUUUAAAUAAGUUGAAGUGAUUUUUUUUACUUAUAAGUAACUUUUUACAUUCUAAAUAGUGUAAUCUUUUUAUUAGUAUUUAAUUUAAAAAACUAAAUAUUUAUGCUUCAAAAAUUUAAGUUAAUAUUUUUUUUACUUAUAAGUAUCUUUUACAAUUAUAAGUUCGUUUUACUUUUAAAUAACUUGAAGUGAUUUUUUUUAUUUAUAAGUAACUUUUUAUAUUUUAAAAAUAAGGAAUCACUUUUAUGUUUAAAAAAAAAAAAGAAAAAAAAAUAUGUGAAGUGAGAAACAUUCUGUGCAGUGUUUCUCAAUUUUAUGAAUGGAGUGGGAAUUUUCACUCCGUGCACGGAGUGUUUCCACUCCACAUAUUAUUUUUUUAAUUAAUAUUUAAUUUAAAAAUUAAAUAUAUUUAAAUAUUUACUUUAAAAUGUUGAAGUUAGUAUUUUUUUUUUUUACAUAUAAGUAGUUUUUACAAUUAUAAAUUUUUUUAUUACUUUUAGAUAACUUGAAGUGAUCUUUUACUUAUAAAUAACUUUCACAUUCUAGAUAGUGUAAUAUUUUUAUUAAUAUUUAGUUUAAAAAACUAAAUAUAUCUAAAUAUUUAUACUUAAAAAAUUUAAAGUUAAUAUUUUUUACGUAUAAAUAGGUUUUGCAAUUAUAAGAGAAGGAGAAAUUAAUAUUUUUUUACCUAUAAGUAGUUUUUACAAUUAUAAUUUUUUUUAUUACUUUUAAAUAACUUGAAGUGAAUUUUUUUUACUUAUAAUUAACUUUUUACAUUCAAGAUAGUGUAAUCUUUUUAUUAAUAAUUAGUUUUAAAAACUAAAUAUAUCUAAAUAUUUAUACUUAAAAAAAUUUAAGUUCAUAUUUUUUUUUACUUAUAAGUAACUUUUACAAUUAUAUGAGGAGGGUUUAAUAUUUAAAAAAUUACUAUGAACAAAACUAAAAAUAUAUUUAUUUACUAUAAAUUACUAUAUUUUUUUACUUAUAUAUAGCUUUUACAAUUAUUAGAGUAUGAGGGAUUCAUAUUUUGUUACUUAUAAGUAGCUUUUACAAUUAUCAAUUUUUUAUUACUUUUAAAUAAGUUGAAAUGAUUUUUUUUACUUAUAAGUAAUUUUUUACAUUCUAGAUAGUGUAAUCUUUUUAUUAAUAUUUAAUUUAAAAAACUAAAUAUAUCAAAAUAUUUAUACUUAAAAAAUUUUAAGUUAAUAAUUAUAAGAGGAGUGAUUAAUUUUUUUUUUUUUACCUAUAAGUAGCUUUUACGAUUAUAAGUUUUUUUAUUACUUUGAAAUAACUUGAAGUCAUUUUUUGUACUUAUAAAUAACUUUUUAUAUUAUAAAAAAAUUUAAGUCAUACCACAUAAUUUUUUUAACAAAAUGAUGUAAAUUAUAUUGAAAAAAUUGUCGUGAAAAAAAUAAAAAACAGUAAUAAUAUAAUUAUUUUUUUAAAGAAAAAAGACAAGUUAUACGCAUUGUUUAAUACACAUGUUUGAUAUACGUUUACUAUUUUCGAUAUUCAUUUAAAUCAUUCAAUGUGUCUAUAAUAAUGUUCUCGAAAUGAGUUUCGAAAGAAUAUGGAAGAUUUAUUGAGUCGAUUACCGUACAAUCAUCGAUGAAUUUUUAAGUUAGCUUGUUAUCGAAAUUCUCGAAAUAAUAGUUUGGAAAUGCCUAUUUUGAGGCCCCGUAACAUUUGUUACGACUGGCUGUUUUGCAUACCAUUGACAUAAAUGUCUUCCCAAUUUUCAAUUCAUUCACGUCAGAGGAUUUUCAUAUCACACACGUAAUUGUAUUCAAUUUUUCUACGUGUAGGGUCCACUGUGUGUUGGGAAGUGGGAUGCUCUAUGUGAUGGAAAAAUUAUAUUUACUUUCUCAUUUUUAUUUAUGUUCUUUACUUUGCUUUUUCAUUUCCUUUCUCGAAAUAGUAAAAAAGAGGCGAAAGAGACGACUAUUUCACAAUUUCUUCAUCUUGCUGCGAUUUGCAUUGACUUUCUUCAUCUUCUUGUGAUUUCUAAUCGACAGGUAUACUGGGUGUGUUCUAACUUUCUUCAAUUUGUCUUGUUGCGAUUUCCAAUGGGUUUUUUCAUCUAACUGUGAUUUCUUCAUCUUUUUAUGUGUACAAUUCUAAAUUUGAGUUCGUGAAAUUGACGGGGUGUGUGUGAAUAAUAUACUGACACACAAAUUACUCUUUGUAUGAACGUAGUUUAGAAGUAAAAUUAAACUGGGACCUUCAUUGAAGAAUAUAAAAGAUUGAUGGUUAAUCAAUAACUACGAUUUUUCGAUAAUAAUUGUUUUUUUUUUAAUUUUACUGAGCAGAUUUUGAGUAGACAAAAUCAAGACAGGUAUUACAAUAGAUGAGAAUGACCUGAUUCUAUUAAUCUCGGUGUCGAGUUGGACUCCGAUCUUGGAGUAUUUGAUGCUUUCUUUGCAAGUUUUUCCAUGAUUCUUCUCAGUGAGGUUAGUAAAUGCAUUUCUUUAGUACCAUAUACUGUUAAACUUAUCUUGUGGAGCACUGUUCGUGGGGUUUUCUGAUGCUCUGCUUUUGAUGGUUCAUGGUAUUCUCCAAGAUGUUGAAUAUACUUUGAUGAGAUACAUACUCUGCUUGUUUUACUAAUUUGGAUCUCACUUUAAAUUAUGGAGUACAUAUUUUGGCCUAUGAAAUCAAAAUUUCAUUCGGCAGAUAAUUAAUUCAGUUUGUUGGGAGCUUUCAUUGAUUUUCCCUUGAAUAUUGUCUAAUGAUGGUUUUGCUUUUAGAUUGGAGAUAAGACUUUUAUAAUAGCUGCUGUCAUGGCAAUGCGUCACCUCAAGUCAAUCUACUGUGGUGUCACAAGGUUAUUUUUAUUUUAUUUCUUGAAUAUUUUUAAAACUUACUUUCGUCGAUGUUUUCUAGCAGUGUAUUGCAUUAUAGAGCUGAUUUGGAUUGGGUUUCUGCAAGCAUAGAUGGACUGGCAGAUAUGAGGCACAUUUAUUCGAUAAUAGUUGUAAAAAAUAGGGGGAGAGACCAUGAGAAAAAGGAAGGCAAGGUAUUGAAUAAAGCGUUCGCCAUUAAUUAUUUAAUUUUUUUUUUACUUAUGCUAUGACAAGAUUCUUGUUUCUUUGUUUCAGUUUUUUGAAUGUAUAUGAUUAAGCUAAUUCAAUCUCACAAUUUAUUUUGGUAAUCAAACCCUUUUUAUUUCUUUAAUAUUUUAAUUAUUUGCUUAUUUUCCCAUUUAAAAUGAUAGUACUAUUCUUUUAUUAAAUUUGAUCUAAGUUUCAAUUUUUAAGUGUAAAAUCAUGUAAGAGGACAUGACAAGGAAGAAAAGGCUAUUGCAGCUUCUGAUUUAGCAGCAUUGAAAAAUUGCGGAUUUGUCCCAAAUUUUUCAGUUAGUUCUUCAAUGUGAAUGUUUAGCCCUCUUGAUUCUUUUUCCAUGUCGACCAAGGUUAAUUAUUGCAAUACAAGGUACAUUAAUUUACAUUCCAUUCUCUUUUAAAGAGCUAUCAACAAGAAGAUAUAUAGGAUCAUGCUCCUUAACUGUUAUUGAAACACAAGCUGUAGAAGAAUUUUACUGUUUUAUUUAGAUACAGAGAGCGCAUUUGUUUUAUCUAUCUUGUAUCCUCGAAAUGUACAGAUAGUGCAGAGAUAAAAGUUCUUUGCAAUUCUUAAACUCUAAAUUCAAUAUCGAACUUGGUUAUUAUUGGUGGCUCAUUUCAUUUCACCAUUUAAGCUUCUUACUAAAAUUUGUAUAAUUUAAAGGUGCUUCAUUGGUGGCUUUAUAGAUCGUGCUUAGAUAAAGAAACCUGUUCUAUUGAAUUUAUCUGUUUCACAUAUGAACUCAACACCUGAAACCUCUUAUUCAGCUUAUCACAAUCUCAAUUAGAUUUAAGCAGCAUUUAUAACAGAUUUUAAGUCUUCAAAAGUCAAUGAAGUAAUUAUGUGUAUGUCCAUAUAGUUCCAGUUGCAGAAAAAAUCCUAGCUAAUGAAGACAAUUGUCUUUUGUUUUAACUUAGGAAACAGAGAAUCCAACUUGUCCACAUUUUUUGAAUUCUUUAAUUUCAGAUAUGAAAAUUUAUCGGGAUUCAUAUAUGUCAUAGGUGAGAGUACAAAAUCAUUAUUUUUAUAUUUUACAAAGAAAAAAAAAUGUGAACAUACCCUAAGAUAAAUGCUAAAAAUUAUGUAGUUUUCAUUCCUAUGAUUAACAGACAAAACGGGAAUUAGGUUGAAGGCAAAAGCUAACGAUAGUAAAAAACUUUCGAUAGUUUUUUUUUUUUUUUACCUUUUUUUUGGGAGAGAAAGCUGGAAUUUGGAGAGAACACUGAAUUUUUGGGCAAGAAAGAUAAAAUUGGAUACACGAGAACAUAUUCUGGCCAUAUUUAUCUUAUGUAACUAAUGAAUAUUAAAGUAAGAUAUUUGCAGUUGUGUUCUUAUUUUUAUUUUUCAUAAUUAAAUAACAAUACAGGAGUUGGUUUACUGGAACUUUUAUUUGAUUUUGUAUUUUUAUUAGACGUAUACUUUCGAGUGAAGAAUGAUGAAGAUGUCUUGUGAGCUCAAACUUUCAAGGAAACCAUUGUGAUAAGAGCUAAAAAUAUACAUAAGAGAUUUGAUUUGUGUGUAAUUUUACUGGAACAUUAGCAACACAAACUUGAAAACAUUGUUCAAAGUUUAAAUGCAAUCUAUUUUCUUCUUUUAAUUGCCUGGUAAUUUUUUCGUCUCGUUUAUGUUUUCUUAGAUAUGUAAGCAUAUGGUAAAGUUUCCUUCCUAAGUGGUGGUGAUAAGAUAAAUGCUCAUGGAAUGUCAUGUUUACUUCUUGAAAUAUUCUUUUUCCAGAUUUUGUCAACUAGAUUUUUUUAGUAUUUUAUUUAUUCCUUAUUUUUUGUGCAUGCUUUUCUUCUUUGAUUCCAAAAUCCAUCAUUAGACUACCCUAUUGGUUUUCUUCUUGACUUCAUAAUUUUUUUCUUCUUAUUUUAGUUAAAUGUUCCAUAGUGUAAUAAUAUGGAAUUAAGACACAAUUUAUGGAUUAUUUUACAUUUAUUCUUAUAUAUUUGUGAAAAGUAGAGAAUUAUAUCACAUAAUAAUUUGGGAACCAUUGUUUUACUAGAUAUGAAAGCUCUCUUAGUUUACUAUUGUAGUUUCACAUGAAGAAAAUCAUCCUGCAAUUCACAAAAUUUUCCGUUCAUUAAAUAUGUUUUACGUUUUAUAUCUUGCAACAAUAUAUCCAUAUCUGACCCACAAUGAUUGAAGGGGUUAGAUUGUUUAAACAUGCUUCCCGGGGAAUAUUGUUCAAUCACUUGGGUAAUAAGAUUUCAUCAACCAUUUUGGUUAUUUUAUUUGCACUAUGGAAGAACCUUUGACACCUGUCUUUUUAUGCAUUUGCCAAAGUCCUUAACAUGUCCAAUGCUUAUCUAUUUAUUUUGCUCAAUAUUCUUUGAUUGAUCAUAAGUACUAAGGAACUGAACCCAAUUGAGUAUUAAUUUGACUUGUGGAUAAAUGGAUUCCUUGUUAUCUUUCCAACGUGUUUGUUUUUGAUCCUGUGAUCUUGAAGUUUUGCUUUGAUACCAGAUGAACUUGAAGGGCCAAAAAAAGAAACCAAUAAUUCUUCUAACAGAAGAGGUGGAUGAAAGAUCAAAAAAGGUUUGUGAACUUAUCUCUAAUGCUGCAGUUUAUUGAUUUUUCAUCCCACCUAUGUAUGACAUUUAGUUUCCUCAUUUCGCUUUUCUAUUACGGGGGGAGAGAUGGCUGCCUUCUAUUGUAAACUAGCUUUGUUGAGGUGUGUGAAAAAGCUUUAACUAAUCUUUAAUAAUCAAAAUAUAAUUGAAAGCUGGGAAAUGGAGAUAAUAUAUAUGCUCGAAAUGAGAUGUAAAUGCAAUAGGCGUCCCUAGCUAUUUGAGGAUGAAAUUAUUGGUGUUGUGGAAGGUACAAAGCAUUGUGUAGCAAAGAAAAGAGAUGACAAUGAUUUGGAGUUGGGAUGUAGGUGGAAUUGACGAUUAAAGGUGGUGAAGCUUUUGAUGAUGUUAAUUAUUGUGGGUACACUACUUGUUUUGGGAGUUGGGAGAAAAUAGUGGUGGUGUGUUGUGCUUUGGGCUUGAAUGGCUUAUUGGGUCACUCAGAUAGGUUUGCGUUUGUUUUUUAAGAAACGUAUAAAAUUGUAAAUGAUGUAGUCGGAGUCCAGCAUAGGAGUCACUUUCUGCCUUGCACUUUUAUUAAGAUCUUUGAAAAAAUUUCUGGUUUACAUUGAAGAUUCUUUUGCUCUAACAGGAAGUGAAACAGUCAUUUCAUUUUGGGGAAAUUACAAAUGGUGAUUUGGUACAUCCCGCUAAGUGCAUGCAAUAAUUACUAGAGCAAGUUAGGCAUUACAAACUAAACAUUGAUGACAAUUUUUGCUCCAUGUUGGUUACCUUCUCAUAUUUAUUUAUUUAUUUACUUUUUGUAGUUGUGGUACAUAUGUGAAUGACAACAUUGAUAUAAAUAAUUUAUUUUUUCAUUCAAUUUUGUCAAACAUGCUUAGAUAUGUUAGUUUUUUCUUGCUUCUAAGUUAAAGAAGUUGUUUAGUUAUAAGUAAAAUUUUUAAGCUUAACCGAUAAAACUGUUAUGGACUUUUUAUAUACAAAAACUUCCUAAACUGUGUACAUUAUUUAUGUUUUACACUUUCUUUGCUUAUGUUUUGAUUUAGUUACAAAGUUGAUGUUAUCCAUUUGUAGCUAGCUAUAUGAUCAAUCAGCACCACAUAGGCAUUCUCAUUUUAGGAAAGAAUGAAUGCGUUUCAAAUUACAAAUUACCAGCGCUUUCAAUUAGGAAAAAUCCAUCCCAAUGUAGGAAACAAAAAUCAUUUGAGGCGUAAUUUACGAGAAUUCAACACAUUUAAAACACUAAUAUUACUUUCAAAAAAAUCGAUCCCGUGCAUUGUACGGGUAAAGACUAGUUGAAAUAUAAAUGUAGAAGCACGAUGGCAAUGAGGAAAAAUGACAAGAAUUUCAUCUUUGUAAGAUUCAGCUAAAAGUGACGCAACGCUAAACAAAGAAUUCAAACGAAAACUUCAAGAAUAAGAAAUUUGGAAUCCACCAAAUUAUGAAGAAAAUAAACUCACAAAUUUUAUUAAUGAAUGAUGAUGAUGAUGAUAAUAACAACAACCAACCCCUUAAUUAUAAGGGUUUACACGGACUAAAAGUAAUGAAAACAAAGUUUAAACAAACUAAAAUUGCAAAAACCCAAAAUAAACGAAAUGCCAAAAAUUGCCCCAAAAUUUUAAAAAUAAGUUUUCGAGUCCUAAAAGAACUCGAAUGGCCGAAAUUUAUCGUACAUCACGGCAUAGCCGUGAAUAUUGUUCCUGUCGUCGUUCUCUUUUCGGAAUGGUCUUAAGGUUCCAAUCCGGAGUUAGGAUGUUUUCUCUCUACUAGUUCAUUUCACCCAAUAUGUCCUACAUCAAAAAGUUUAGUAACUGCAUGCAAACUCUUGGUUGCUGAUGCUGUCUAUUUAUAGACAAUCAAAUGAUUUUCCUUUGCAUUUGUUUGAGGUUCACAUGCACUGAUUUUUAAGAAAAUCAGAAGCUUGGAGUGGUACAGGAAAAAAUUGAGCAAGUUGAAAGAGUAUAAACUCUUUAAUUACUAGGAAUUUUCUGUAACGUUAGCUAGGCCAGGCCAGCUUUGGCUGUCCAGGACGAGAAAACAGCUGGUGGAUUCCUUUGGAGAAAGGAAGAAAUGGAUGGUCCCUUUAGUGAUAAGGAAUGGUGUUUUAAACCCCAGACUUGUUUGUCUAUGUUCGAGUGACAGUGACUCGGAACCAUCAUGGGCAUAUAAAAGUUCGAGUUAUUAGAUAGAGAACAGCCGUAUGCAUUUAGAUCUAGUCACAACUGCACUUAAUUUCAAGAAGAAACCUACAUAAACAGGUGCUCAAUUGAAAUUUUGCAACAGUAUUUUAACAAUGGUUUUUUGGCCCCAUUUUUCCUAGGAUAUAUAGUUAGGGUGGACUAAGUUACCAGAACAAAAUUGCCGAUUCAAUCACGUUCUUUUUGGGAGAAUAUCUAACUGAUGAAUUUCUCUAAGUUAAAAUGGACUUUUUACUUAUAAUUUAUGAGAUUUUUAUUGAUUCUCGAUUUGUUAGUUCUAUUCAGAACCAGAAUGAGCAUACUAUAUAUUCUAGAACGGAAGGGAAUUAAUUUGAGGUAAAUGGCAUUAAAACAGAUAAUGAUUUUAACACUAUUUUAUAUAUUUCUUUUUUGCCACAUUUGUUUUAAUAUAAUUUUGUAGCAUUGCUNNNNNNNNNNNNNNNNNNNNNNNNNNNNNNNNNNNNNNNNNNNNNNNNNNNNNNNNNNNNNNNNNNNNNNNNNNNNNNNNNNNNNNNNNNNNNNNNNNNNNNNNNNNNNNNNNNNNNNNNNNNNNNNNNNNNNNNNNNNNNNNNNNNNNNNNNNNNNNNNNNNNNNNNNNNNNNNNNNNNNNNNNNNNNNNNNNNNNNNNNNNNNNNNNNNNNNNNNNNNNNNNNNNNNNNNNNNNNNNNNNNNNNNNNNNNNNNNNNNNNNNNNNNNNNNNNNNNNNNNNNNNNNNNNNNNNNNNNNNNNNNNNNNNNNNNNNNNNNNNNNNNNNNNNNNNNNNNNNNNNNNNNNNNNNNNNNNNNNNNNNNNNNNNNNNNNNNNNNNNNNNNNNNNNNNNNNNNNNNNNNNNNNNNNNNNNNNNNNNNNNNNNNNNNNNNNNNNNNNNNNUAUACUAUAUGUGGAUGGUGAGGAAUAGGUGGGUUUUUGGGGAUCAUAGGCCACAUGUGGAUUGUAUUGUAAGACAUAUUGAAAUACACUUAAACAAAACUAUUUUUACUUUGUAUCCGCAUGCUUUAAUUCAUUUUGAAUCCUUAGCUAAGUGUCCUUAACUAUUAUCGUUUGUACAUCUUUUCAUUGUGUUUGCCCGUGUAUGCCGAUAAUACUUGUAAUCGUCACUUGAUCUAUGUUUGUUCGGGUAUGUUCGGUGGACUUGUAUAUGAGCUUUGAUCAAUAAAAUUUAUAUGUACCGAUCAAAAUAAAAAAUAAGAAAAGCCGAGGCAACAUCUAUGACGGCAGCCAUAGAUGCAAUAAUAGCAUCAGAGGCAACUGAUUUUCUCUUCCCUUGAGAUGCAGGUGGCAGAUUUUGUGUAGAAUAUAUCAGAUCCUUAUUUCCUUUUGUUUCGACAUCAACAGAAUUUUCGAACUGUGGAACCACUCCGGACAAUUGAUUAUUUGUUAGAACCAGUCGAGUUAACGUUUGCAUUUGCGUUAGGAACUUCGGAAUCUCACCUGAAAAUGUAUUAUUCGAGAGGUCUAAAACCUCCAAUGAAGUCAACCUUGAUAGACUAAUUGGAAUAUCCCCUUCAAAGAGAUUGUAGCUGAGAUUCAAAGCGAUUUGCAGACUCUGUGGCAUUGCUGGAAUGUGCCCACUAAGUUGGUUUUUUCCAAGCUGAAGUUCUAAUAGAAUAUCCAAGUUUCCAAUGGAAUCAGGUAUAGAACCUCUAAGAUGAUUUCCUUGCAAAUCCAAGUUGGUGAGAUUCCGUAAGUUGGAAAAUGAAUCCGGUAUAGAACCACUCAAUGAAUUCCAGCUUAAUUUAAGCCUCUGCAAUCUGCGCAACAUUGUAAUUUGAGUAGGUAUUUCUCCAACAAAACGGUUCAAUUGAAGAUUCAAAACUUGAAGGUUGGCCAGAUUACCCAACGAUGUAGGCAAAGGACCUGUCAAUCCAUUUCUGGCUAAAUUCAACAGUGCCAAAUUCGUGCACUUGCUGAUUUCAGGAGGGAUUGAUCCAGUCAAGUUGUUGUUAUCAAGCUCCAAAUAUGUCAACUCCCCAAGGCUUCCCAGUGAUUCACCUGGGAGUGUUCCAUUGAGAGAAUUCCCUCCGAGCCUCAACCUAAACAGUCUUGUAUGAAUAUUUUCAGGAAUCGAACCCUCCAGUUUAUUGUAAGACAAAUCAAUAGACUGCAAAUUUGUUCUGGCCAGGAGAUCAGAUGGGAUUGUACCUGUCAAGCUGUUAUAACUAAGGUCUAAAUUUCUGAGGUGAGAGGUCAUCCCAGGCGGGAUAGUCCCAUUAAACUUGUUCUGAUUUGCAGCAAAUCGGAGCAGUGUAGAAAUAUUCGAAAGUGAAUUGGGAAUCCCACCACUCAGAUCGUUAAUAGACAGUAUCAAGAUUUUCAACUUUGAUAGCCCUCCAAAUUCAUCAGGAAUUAAUCCUGACAAUUUAUUAAGACUAAGAUCGAUCAAAUUCAAAUUUCCAUAUUUUAAGAUUUGUGAAGGGAUACCACCAGUGAAUUGGUUGAAGGAAAGCUGUAGUUCCUCUAAAAGAUACAAUUUUCCUAGGUUUAUAGGAAUAGCCCCUGUGAAAUUGUUUUGGCUAAGGUUCAGACUCUUGAGGGAAUCCAAUUCAAGAAAUUGUGAAUCAAUUUCCCCAGUUAGUGAAUUUUGUGAAAAAUCCAAGUGAUCUAACAUCCUAAAACGAUUGAAAUUAGGCAAAGAACCAACCAAUCUAUUCACACUAAAAUUCAACAAUUUCAAUCCACUAAUCUCUCCACAAUCAGUGAUGAACCCACCUGGGAUUGAGCUCAAAUAAUUAUAAGAGAGAUCAAUAAACUCCAAAGUAUCAAUCUGGCAAAUAAAUGGGAGAAACUCAGAACCAGAAAUUGAAAACAAAGAGAAAGAUAGUUUGAUUAUUGAAGAAUUAUCAGGAGUACAACUUACUCCCUUCCAUGAGCAUGGGCUUGAGUCCUUUGAGACAUUAUUCCAAAUAAAUUGUGUGCCAGUUUCAUUCUUAAUAAUUUCAUAAACCCUACUCAUAGUACUAAUCUGUUCUGAAGGCAACUGAGAGAACCCCAACUGAAUAUAAAUCAAGAAAAUCAACAGUGUGAAAGCAAUUUUUGCAUACCUGUUCAUUUUGGCUCUCAAUAAACUUUCUUGUGUGUGGGUGAAAGAAGUGCAUAAACACAUGUAAAGACGAGUAUACAAGUGCAAGAAUUUGAAAGGGCAGGCCAAGAAUCAUAUGCAUAUUGGAAAUUGAAAGGUUAGAGUGGAGUUGACUAGACUUUACUGUUUGAGAAAGACCAAUAUUGGCGUGGAAUUUGGGGUGUUUUGUUCUUUGUUGACUGGAAAAUGCAUACUUGGUUUUCCAACUCCAUGGUCUUUGGCGGGUUCCACUGCGAGAAAUCAGUUCCUUGGAAAACGCGUGGUCUUGCACUUCUCGUCAAAGUGAAUUUCAUUUUUAUAUUUAUUUAUUGGUUGGAACUUUGAAUUUUAAAAUUUAACAAUAAAUCGAAUUUAUGAGCAAUUAGCAAUUAGACUUGUCCGGCCGAACAAAGUAUAAUAUAACGGUGGAUCAUUAGUUGAACGGAUUUAAAGCUAGAUCGAAUGAUUUGGUUCAAUUAUAAUAAUUAUGGCUAAUAUAGAUUCAAUAACAAGAUAGUCUCUAUGCACAAGUGCAAGUCUGUUCAUAUACACCAAGAUGGAAUUUCUCCUAUCUCCCAGAAAAGAACAUAAUUGGAAAAAAAAAUACAAAAAUUCAAUCUAAUUCUUCCGAAAUCUUGUAUUUUAAUUAAUGGGAUGUUACUAUCGUUAUAGAUUAGAUGUAUAUUUAAGAAGACUCCAUUAAAAAUAAAAAAUAAAAAAUAAGAUUUUGCUUUUGUUUAUUUAUAUUUCAUUGUGCAAUCCAGUUUCUUCUGAAUUUGGCAUCUUCAUAGUGAAAGACUACAAAUUUUUCCACGAUCGCGUCAAGUGUCCAAUGAUAGGAAUUCACCACGUAUCUUUGUUAUUUUGUUAUAAUACGCAAUAAAAAGAAGAGGUAAUUUCUUAUCAAUGACAAUUGACAAGUAAAUAUAAAUAAUUAUUGUUUGAAAAAAAAAAAAAAAAAGGGAAGAAGUGACAUUGUAUUUUAUAAAAAGAUUUAUAAAUUUAUUGAAAGUCAAGUGAUAUAGGUUGGUAGAAGGAGCCACCUCAACGACAAGCAAGAUAGAUCACUGCAUUUCGAUGUAAGGCCAUUGACCCUUAAGGGGUGCUCUGCCACUAUUCCCAAGUGGUGCUCGACCACCAUGCACGGCCAUCGACCCCUCAGAGGCGCUCUACCACUACUCUCAAGGGGCACUCUACCACUACGCGAGGCCGUCGACCUCUCCAAGGGCGCUCUACCACUACCCCUAGGGGGCGCUCUACCACUACCCCUAGAGGUCGUUCUACAUCUACUCGAAGUCUUCAACUAGAAUGGAAUUGCCUACCCAAACACUUAGCCAUAAAACCUCUAGUGAAUUGACUAGGUUCCAUGACGGUUAAUACGGGUUCAACUUCCAGGUGGGAAGUUAAAGACCCCCCACUCAGAAUGUGGGGGUAGUGGGAAUGCCAACGUGGGACACGUGACACCACAAUCACCCAGCGGUUAUUCAGCUCCGAAUAUCUAUAAAUACCCUCGGAUGUGACAAAAGUAAGGGGGAUCUCUCUCUCUUUUUAGUCAUCUAAAUUCCAAUUGGAUUUUUUCUAAGUCUAUAAACUAAUUCUCACUCCGGAGGUAAAACGGGGGAGGAAGCCCCGCCUUCGUUUUCCAGGUCGCACACACUUGACGGAGUAGUCAGAACGCCGAACGCCACCAAGCAGAUAGAAGGGUAUUGUUCCACAACCAUUUCAUUGGCGCCGUCUGUGGGAAAUUCUUCCACUGAACACAAAGGUCAUGUCGAGAAGACGAACAAGAAGUGACACACGCCUAAGAGCAGCAACGACGGAGGCAGAAUGAAUUCCAAUUGGAUUUUUUCUAAGUCUAUAAACUAAUUCUCACGCCGGAGGUAAAACAGGGGAGGAAGCCCCGCCUUCGUUUUCCAGGUCGCACACACUUGACGGAGUAGUCAGAACGCCGAACGCCACCAAGCAGAUAGAAGGGUAUUGUUCCACAACCAUUUCAUUGGCGCCGUCUGUGGGAAACUCUUCCACUGAACACAAAGGUCAUGUCGAGAAGACGAACAAGAAGUGACACACGCCUAAGAGCAGCAACGACGGAGGCAGAAUUAGAAUCAGUCGCCAGAGGCCUCGAUCCGCCACCGCCGUCGCAGUAUGUGACGCAAAGCCAGUUUAGCGCCCUAGAGACCCAGUUAGCGGCCAUGAUGACCCUCUUGCAGAAUCAAACGCAGAGAGCCACCCUCCCACCGCAUUCGGCAGAGGCCCCGCCUCCACCCCAGGAGGCGCACAUAGAAACACCGCCUGCCAUCCAAUCGGUGACUAUAGGCUCGGGGGCUCCAGGGAUGACUGUCUUGCAGUCCGUCCCACCCCUGAGUGGAGAAAGGAAGAGAUCACGACGAAGAAAAUUGUUGACGCGAUUUCUAAAAGAAAAGACAAGCGCAGGCAGAUGGUCCUAGAAGAGGACCCGUUCGCGCCUGAGAUCAUGGCGGUCCCUUUACCUAAAGGCUUUAAGUAGCCUAUGAUAAAGGCUUACGACAGGGUCAUAGAUCCGCUUGACCAUCUGCAAAUCUUCGUUGAUCUGAUGAGACUCUAUGCAGCACCCGAUGUGGUAAUGUGCCGAUCUUUUUCCCCGACUCUCAGGAGGGAAGCCAGAGACUGGGUGGCAACACUUGCCCCCCGGUCUAUCCGAACAUUUGAUAAACUUUCCAGGAGCUUUGUAGCCUACUUCUUGAGUAGCAAGAGAAAGAGGAGGACAGCCAUUGGACUGAUGCAGGUGGUCCAGGAGAAAAAUGAGUCUCUGUAGGAAUAUCUGGCCAGAUUUAGCCGUGCGACCCUUGGAAUAGAGGACCUUCAGAUGCCGACGGUGGUGACUACGUUGACGAAUGGAACUCGAAACUGGGCUUUUAAGAUGUCACUUUCUAAGAACCCCCCAGAAUCAAUGCACGACCUAUUGAAAAAGGAAGACAAGUAUGUUGAUGCUGAGGAGGCGGAGAAGGUCACAAAGAACCUCGGAGAGGGAUGGGAAGUAGAAAGUCACAAGCGCAAGGCGGGGGACGAGCUAAGACCUACCAACAAAAAUAGGCCAAGGAGUGAACAGAUGGUGAAAGACACCGCCCAAGACCAGCCAGCCAGACACAAACGAGAGGAGUCCAGGGCGUUUACCCCUUUGAACACCCCCCUUGCCAAACUAUUGAUGAAAAUACGAGACAUAAAAGAGCUAGAAUGGCCAAGACCCAUGGUAACGCCAGCGGGCAAAAGAAACCAGGACAGAUUUUGUCAUUUUCACAAGGAUCAUGGGCAUGAUACUAAAGAGUGCCUGCAACUAAAGGAGGAGAUCGAGCGCCUCCUAAGGCGGGGUCUCCUGGUUAAGUAUGUGAAGGACAACCGGGGGAAGCAAAAGAUGGAGGAUCGUCCUUUACCUAGGGCUGGAGUGAUAAACAUGAUUACAGAAGGGUUAGCAGGAGGGAGAGAUUCAAACUCGACAAGGAAAAGCUACGCCCGCUCUCUCGGGAUCUACUCCAUCCAAAAGAAUGCAAGGUUCAGCUAAAGCAUCACUUUUGGCGAGGAAGACUUGGUAGGCGUGGCAUACCCCCCAUGAUAAUGCCCUAGUAAUAGUAGGCGACAUAGCUGAUUUUGACGUCAAAAAAGUAUUGGUUGACGGGGGAAGUGCCGCAAAUGUACUCACCUGGGACGCUUUUUUAGGCCUGAAGAUCUCACCUGACAAGUUAAAAAUCGUGAACACCCCCUUGCAAGGCUUUGGAGGAGCCAUGGUGAUUCCAAAAGGUAUUAUGGAGCUCCCGGUCACGCUAAGCACAUAUCCGACCACUGUGGUAAUUGUGGCGAGUUUUUUGGUCGUUAAGACCCCCAUGGCCUAUAGUGCAAUCUACGGUCGGCUAUUACUCAACGCAGCUGGGGCCAUCCCCUCGACCUAUCACCAGGUCCUGAAAUUCCUGACCAGCAGGGGAGUCGAGUGUGUGCGGGAGAUCAGCAAGCAUCCAAGAAAUGUUAUGUCGACAGUAUAUCAAUCAGAAGACCCCCAUUAGUCAUGAUGUUAGAAGUUGAACCUCCGAGAGGGCGAAUUGAGCCACUUAACAUGAUCGAAAAGAUUUCCAUAAUGGAGGGCUAGGAGGUCAGCAUCGGGGCUGAGUUGGACUCUGACGAAAAAGGGAAGCUGGUGAGGUACCUGAUAGACAACCUAGAUGUCUUUGCAUGGAGCCCAACUGAUAUCACCGGGGUCAGCCCAGCACUCGCUCAGCAUCGUAUCGGAGUCCUACCCGAAGCCAAACCAGUAAAACAGAAGAAGAAAAGGAACCUCGUCCCCAAAAGGCAAGAAAUAGCAAGGGCGGAAGUGGAAAAGCUACUGCAAGCAGGUUUCAUCCGAGAGGUACGGUACCCCGAAUGGUUAGCCAAGAUUGUGCUAGUAAAAAAGUUAAAUGGGAAGUGGCGCUGUGGGUUGAUUAUACCGGAUUGAAUAAGGCAUGCCCAAAGGACUCAUACCCGCUCCCACGGAUAGACCACCUCAUCGAUGCCACAUCGGGUCAUGAGAGGCUCAACUUCCUAGACGCUGUCUCGAGGUAUCAUCAAAUCUCUAUGGCUGAGUGCGACCAGGAGAAGACGUCGUUCAUCACAGAUUUUAAAACCUACUGUUACACUACCAUGUCUUUCGGCCUGAAGAAUGCAAGGGCAACUUAUCAGAGGAUGGUGAAUAGGGUCUUCCAGGAGUUGAUUGGAAAUGUCAUAGAAGCCUAUGUCGACGAUAUGGUGGUAAAAAGUAUUAAGGCCGUUGGCCACGUAGCCUGUCUGUAGAGAGUGUUUGACAUAGCCCAACAGAAUAAUCUGAAAUUUAACCCCGAGAAAUGUGUUUUUGGUACAGUCGGUGGAAAGUUCUUGGAUUUUAUGAUCACCCAGCGAAGUAUUGAGGUGAAUCCCGACAAGAUACAGGCAAUACUUGAAUUGAGAAGCCCCACUAGCAAGAAUGAGGUCCAGCGGCUAACGGGGCGUGUGGCAGCCCUUAACCUUUUUAUGAGCCGGGUAGCGGAUAAGUGCUACCAUUUCUUUAAAGCCACUGGGGACUCUAGAAAUUUUGAGUGGACUCAAGAGUGUGAGGAGUCGCUGGAAUCCUUGAAGAGGUUACUACAACAGCCUCCCAUAUUGACCAGCCCAUGCCCUGGGGACGUACUAUGUCUCUACCUCGCAGUGUCGCCACGGGCAAUCAGUGCAGUUCUCGUAAAAGAAUUCCCAAAGGCACAGAAACCAAUCUACUAUGUCAGUCAGGUCCUCAAAGGCGCUGAGACAAGGUACAGUCUGGCCGAACAACUGGUGCUCGCAUUGAUCGUUGCGGUUAGAAAAUUGAGGCCUUACUUUUAGUCCCAUACGGUACAAGUGAUGACCGACUAACCCAUCAAACAGAUCCUACAUCGACCAGAGACAUCCGGAAGACUGCUGAAAUGGGUAAUUGAAAUAGGUUUGCAGUGACUCGCAGUUGAUAGUUGGACAGGUGUCGGGGGAAUAUGAGGCUAAGGAUGGGAAGAUGGCAGCCUACCUGAUGAAAGUAAGGGAUCUGCAAAGGGGGUUCGCAAGCUUCAGGAUAACAAAGGUCCCACAAAAGGAAAAUGAGCGGGCAGACACGCUAGCGAAAUUCGCAUCGGCAAACCCAAGAAAUCUGCCACGAAUAGCGAAUGUGCAAGUCUUACAGCAACCCAGCAUCUAACGCUGGGUCGAGGUGAAAAAUAUUGAGCACGAGGAAAGCUAGAUGGAUCCGUUAAUCAAAUACCUCACAGAAAAUAAAACACCGGAAGAUCCCUUUGAAGCAAGAAGGUUGAGAGCUUGGGCAGCCUCAUUCACCAUCAUUGAUGGGCAACUUUACAAGCGGGGUUUCACCAUGCCAUAUCUGAAGUGCAUACGACCCUCGGAGGCUAAAGAGAUACUAUUUGAAGUACAUGCUGGGACUUGUGGUAACCACCAAGGGGCAACAUCCCUUGCUUUCAAAAUUCUACGGCAAGGCUACUAUUGGCCAACCAUGAAAAGAGAUGCCAAAGAACUAGUAGGAAAGUGUAACACAUGUCAACAACACAGAAAUUUAAUCCACGUCCUAGCCGAGCAGCAGGCAGCUAUAUUUGGAGUGUGCCCAUUUUUUCAGUGGGGGAUGGACAUUUUAGGUCCUCUACCUUUAGCCAAGGGGCAGAGGAAGUUUUUUCUGGUCGCCAUCGACUACUUCACUAAGUGGGUAGAGGCAGAAUCACUUGCAACCAUCAUGACUGCAAAAGUACAGUGUUUUGUAAGGAAAAAUAUAAUAUGCCGAUUCGGAAUACCCAGGGUAAUGGUGACAGAUAAUGGCAAAUAAUUUGUCAAUCAUAGUUUCAAGGCUUUCUCUACAAGUUAUCACAUCGACCAUAGACCGACUUCGAUCGCUCACCCACAAUCGAACGGACAAGCUGAAGUGACCAAUCCAGUCAUUCUUUGGGAUCUGAAAACCAGAUUGGAAAAGGAGAAGGGGCUUUGGGCAGACGAGCUUCCCAAUGUGCUGUGAGCGUACCACACAACUCCACAAGAGCCAACCGAGGAGAUGCCAUUCAGACUAACCUUCGGGAUGGAAGUCGUAGUCCCAGUUGAAAAUUUAAGUGAGACAGGCAAGAUGAAAGUGAGAUAGCCCGAUGACACCACGACCAGGGGAGAACUCGACCUACUGGAAGAAGUAAGGGAGAAGGCGGCAAUAAAGAUGAUGGCCUAUAAACGGAGAGCCGCCGAAUACUUCAAUUGGAGAGAAACCGAGAAUCUUUCAACCAGGGGACCUCGUAUUAGGAGACGCGACAGCAGUAGGACACCCUCCAGCAAAACUUGGACCAAACUGGGAAGGCCCAUAUAAAGUGAUCCUCAGCCUAGGAAAGGGGGCUUACAGCUUGAAAGAUAUGAAGGGAUGACCACUGGGUAGGCCGUGGAAUGCAGAGCAUCUCAAAAAUACUACCAGUAAAUUUUAGAAUAGACACAUGGACUACGUUUUUGUAAAUACAGUAGAUAGAUUGCCUUGUUAAUUCUCUCUAUGUAAUGCCUUACGGAGGCACCCUUUGUUGCAUUUGUUUAUUCAAUGAAAAAUCUUGGUAGUAGCAAGUGAUGAGGACGCUAAGGAAGGGCUAGCCUAGCUGUGACGUCCCGGUGCGCCUACUGAGCUCACGAAUCCAAGUAUUUUUAUACCGAUAUGCAGUCUCAGACUCCUCCUCAUCCCAUGAAGACAUAUGGUCGACAUAGCCUACGCGGCUAGGCGGAGAGCCUUAACAAGCCAAAAUUUGGCUAAAGCCCUUAACUGCUAGACCCCUCUCCCAACGGUCGACAUAGCCUACGUGGCUAGGCGGAGAGCCUUAACAAACCAAAAAUUGGCUAAGGCCCUUAACCACUAAAUCCUUCUCCCGACGGUCGACAUAGCCUACUCGGCUAGGUGGAGAGCAUUAACAAGCCAAAAAUUGGCUAAGGCCCUUAACCGCUAGACCCCUCUCCCAAUGGUCGACAUAGCUUACGCGGUUAGGCGGAAAGCCUUAACAAGCCAAAAAUUGGCUAAGGCCCUUAACUGCUAGACCCCACUCUCGACGGUUGACAUAGCCUAGACGGCUAGGCGUGGGUAACACAAAGAUAAAAUUGGCUAGGGCCAUCGACCACUAAACUCUGACAACCACUCCCCCGCACUAUCAAACAGUGAAAAGAAAAUGAAGAAGGACAACAUGAGAGACGGCCAGUUGAAGGAACAACGCACUCAACACUAAUAAUAGCGAACGAAAAAUGUGUCUAUACAUAUCAGAAAUUCUUGCCCAUACCCCGGACAAGUGGGAGAUAAUGAGAUUAAACAAAAGUAAACACGAAAAAGAAAAAGCUAGCAAAGAAAACAACAACUAAGAAAUGCUUCAGCUCGAAGGGGAGACAUCCCCACUACCACCUCGUGAUGAACGUCCAAGUGACCUGGAUGACUGUGCUCCACUCUCUUUCCCUUUGCGCUGUGCAAGAAACCUAUCUAGACCAGAGGGGUCUAUAGAAGGAUGCUCGGCCAUAAUCCACUCUUCGGAAAGUUUGAUAGACGCUACCAUCGCCUUUCUCCCAAAUGAAUUCAAAGCCUUAGCAUAACAAACGAUGUCUUAUACUACUCCACAGAUACCUCGAGAUCUCUGGCAUAUUUAGCUGAGGCCUUAUACUUCUCAAUCGCCUCCUCCGGAGAACGAGCCAAAACAGAACGCAAGUUGUCGUUCUCCGUCUCCUGCUCGCGAGUUCGAGCAUCCGACGUCUCUAGAGAUUUCCUCAAGGAGGAUAUCUUUUUCUUGCAGUGAUAAGCCUCCUUUUUCUUUUCUUCAGUAAGAGUCUUCAACUCCGAGACUAGGCGAUGAUUCGAUUCAGCGAGUCCAGUCUGGAGGGCUACCACCUAAGAAAUUAGGGGGUAGAAUAAAAGUCAAGCGUUAAAACCAAGCUUAAAAGAAAAGACCCAACAUAAAAGAAAAUGUGAAAUUGGAAACGUACCCUAUGGAGAUAAACAGCCGCAGUCCUUUCAAUGUUGUCUGCACUACGCCCUGUAAUUGCUCUAGAAUGAGCGGGCGUCACCAAAGACUUGAGCACCCCCAUUUCAUGAUAGCCCCGCGUGGGAGGAAACCCGAAGUUGGGAAGUGAAUUCUUGCGCUCACACCGUACACGCCUGGAAGCACCCUGCCUAGGAGCUGGAGCCACCUCACGAGGCUCGUUUGAAGGCUGGGAGGUCCCGUUGAUCGCCCGAGACUUUCCCCCUUGGUCGGCCACCCUCCUUCUCUUUGAAAGGAUAGGUGAUGGAUUUACCUCAUCUCCCUCCCCUGGUCGGGCAUGGAAUCCAUGAUCCCUUCAAGAUCAAGCUUUGCCCCUACACAUGUAAGUUAGAAUCCAUUAACAUCGUAAGGCAGAAAAGCAUAAAGAUAAAAAAAAAAAAAAAAAAAGGAGGUGAACACAAAAGCUUACCAUCAACGGGAGCAGGGCCCCCAUCGCCUCCUGGCAGGGUUUUCAAUACCUCAUCAAGAUCAAAGUCCAUAUCUGUAUGCAUACACCCAAGCUCACUAAAAGCAAAAAAUAAUAAGUGAACGUGUGUGCAUGCAAUAAAAAAAACCAAUGGAAACAACCUACCAGUAGGACGACUCAUCCCCACUAUCAACAUGUUCUUCAUGGUCAAGACUGAUCCUAAGUCAGGUACGAGAGGCAGUACAUCAACCAACUCUUGGAUUUGAGCUUUUAGAAAGGGGGUAACUUCUACUUGGCUAUUGAAGAGACGAAUUUGAGGGUGUUGCCAAUUGGUGUUAAAAGAGAAUUGACCUGCUGAAGGCCGGACGAAGAAGAACCGGGACUUCCAUCUGCUAUUCAAAUUUCUAAAUUUAGGAAAUUGUAAAGAAACCCUGGUGGUAAAAUAGACGAAUGCAUUACAUUGAACUAGCUCAUGACGAAUGCAUUACACUGAACUAGCUCAUGCAUUUCGAAGAUACACCUGAAAAGGUUUAUGGAAAGUGAUAUUUUCCUUUUUAGACAAACAUAUAGGAAAUAUAACGCCUUUCUCCACGCGUUGGGAUUAAUUGACUAGGAGUAAGGUGGAACUCAUUGAAAAUCGACACAAAAAGGGAUGAAUGGGAAAUCGAACACCCCCGUCCAUAACAUCCUUGUACACGACUACCUCGUGGGGAUCGGACCCGGUGAGUCUUUCUUUGGGACCAAGAGCUCUAUAGACAUAAUCAUCAACCCGGUCAUACUUACCUAGACAUUUUUCUAACUUAAGUGGUAAAUUGUAGAGACUACAACUUUUUCGGAUAUCUAGGGGGACAACCUCACCAAGAGGGGUUGUGUUCCUUUGUAUUGAAUGGAACGGUGUUUUAGCCAAUUCUGCUUCAACACAUAUUUCACAUUUAUGAUUAGGAUUGAUUUUAUGCGCCGAAAUUAAACUUUGAUUCAUUAGUUUGUGCAACGAUUUGUAAUUCACAUGUCCUAAUCGACUAUGCCACAAACAUGAAGGCUCAAGCAAGUAAACAGAAUAUAGUUUUAUUCAUAACGACUUGCUUCGGUACAAUUGUAAGAACGUUCAACUUGAACAUUCCAUCACACAUGCAUCCUUUCCCUACAUACAUCUCAUUUUUAGACAACACAAAUUUAUCGGAUACAAAUACAAGUUUAAAACCACUCUUGCUAAGUAGGGAUCCAGACACUAAAUUCUUUCUUAUAUCCGGCACAUGUAGGACAUUGUUGAGGACGAGUUCUUUCCCGGAUGUCAUNNNNNNNNNNNNNNNNNNNNNNNNNNNNNNNNNNNNNNNNNNNNNNNNNNNNNNNNNNNNNNNNNNNNNNNNNNNNNNNNNNNNNNNNNNNNNNNNNNNNNNNNNNNNNNNNNNNNNNNNNNNNNNNNNNNNNNNNNNNNNNNNNNNNNNNNNNNNNNNNNNNNNNNNNNNNNNNNNNNNNNNNNNNNNNNNNNNNNNNNNNNNNNNNNNNNNNNNNNNNNNNNNNNNNNNNNNNNNNNNNNNNNNNNNNNNNNNNNNNNNNNNNNNNNNNNNNNNNNNNNNNNNNNNNNNNNNNNNNNNNNNNNNNNNNNNNNNNNNNNNNNNNNNNNNNNNNNNNNNNNNNNNNNNNNNNNNNNNNNNNNNNNNNNNNNNNNNNNNNNNNNNNNNNNNNNNNNNNNNNNNNNNNNNNNNNNNNNNNNNNNNNNNNNNNNNNNNNNNNNNNNNNNNNNNNNNNNNNNNNNNNNNNNNNNNNNNNNNNNNNNNNNNNNNNNNNNNNNNNNNNNNNNNNNNNNNNNNNNNNNNNNNNNNNNNNNNNNNNNNNNNNNNNNNNNNNNNNNNNNNNNNNNNAGUUCAUCGGAUAGAGUGUUAUUUGCAACCAUGUGGGCUUGAGCAUUCUUCUUUGGCUUUCGACAUUCACUUGAACGAUGUCCAGCCUUUCCACAGUUGUAACAAUUCUCUUUGAACUUCUUAGCUUUCUUGGAAUUAUCUCUUCGCAGUGCAUAAUUAGGAGCCUUUCAUUUCUUAUUUGUUGCCUUUGGUUCCAUUUCAACAAAAUUUGCACAAUUUUGAUCAACCGAUCUUCGUUCGAUUUUUCGAUUGUCCUCUUCAUUCCUCAAGCGCACAAUAAAUUCUUCCAAGUUCAUUUCUUUGCGUUUAUGUUUGAGGUAAUUUUUGAAAUCUCUCCCAUAGGAGGGAGUUUCUCAAUAAUGGUAGCCACUUGGAAUGAUUCACUCAGUUCCAUUUUCUCGACGUGGAUGUCUGUAACAAGACUUGAAUCUCUUGCACUUGACUAAUUACGAUUUUGGAAUCCACCAUCUUGUAGUCCAAAAAUUUGCCAACAAUGAAUUUCUUUGUUCCGGCAUCCUCGGUCUUGUACUUUGUCUCCAAAGAAUCCCAUAGUUCCUUGGCUGAUUCCUUUGAACUAUACACCUCAUAUAGUGUAUUAUCCAAUGCGUUUAGGAUAUAGUUCUUGCAUAGGAAGUCCGAGUGUUUCAAUGCAUCCAAAACAAUAAUCGAUUUACGAUUAUUUUUCCCUUCUUGUACAGCCGGUGUAGUUUCCUUUAGAAAUUUAGCCAAAUUAAGAGUGGUGAGAUAAACCAACAUAUUUUGUUGCCACCUCUUGAAGUCUACUUCUGCAAAUUUUUCCGACUUUUCCCCAUGUGGGAUUGUAGUAUUAUGCAACGGUAUGAUCAUGGGUGGUACCACAUUAUUGAAACCAUUUUGACUUGACAAAGUUCCGAUGGUAGUCAUUUCGUUACACAAAUAGAAGCUCAACAAAAUGAUGAUAAUAUCGGUGGAGGAAUAGUACACAAAGCACUAUUAAAACAAAGUAAUGUUUGUCCACAACCAAUCACAAAGACACACAAGUUUGUCUUAAGAUUGUUGGAGAAGACUUAUAAAAAGGGUUAUGUAAGGGUUGAUUUUUGAUAUAUUUGUUUGACCAGUUUUAACUCGCAAGAGCGUGAUCAAAACACAAUUUAUAUGAAUGAAAAUUUGGAUAGAGUUUCGGUAUAAAGAUUACGCAAAAUAAGGAUUAAGGAGUAGAAAUAGAGAAUAAUUCAAUGCGAGACGUUAUCUCUUUCCUUAAGACAAAUUGCCCCGCUACGGUGCUCACGGUGAAUGUCACUUGUCUCCCAAGAUACAAUGGAAUCACAACUUAUGGUUGCAGCACUUCAAACCACAAGAAACCGACGAACUUUUGACAGAAUUUCCCCUCUACAAAGGAAAUGUAUGAAAUGCUAUAGAAUUAGAAAGAAUAGAAUUGUAAGAGGAGAAUGAAUGCUCAAUGCAAUUGAUGUACCCAAAAUCAUGUCCAUAGGGUUCUAUUUAUAGAUGUAGAAAGGGUGCAAAUGAAGUAGUGUGGGCCAAAACAUGCAUCCUUUCAAAAAAAGUUGAAACGCUUGGCCAAAACCUGCACCUUUUCGAAAUGUUGCAACACUUCAUUUCUUCCAACUUUGGUUCGCAAUUUCUCAUUCAUCCAGAAUUGGUUUCGAGAUUCUAAAUAUACCACGACGAUCUACUCGAUGAGUAGAAUAAGUUGGUCUAUUUACUUUUGUAAUUUAACCAUCGGAUCAAGUUCGAAUAUUUGGUCGAAGUUAACACGUAGUCACACCUUUUCAUUUUCCAUUUUUACACACCUUUUCAUUUUUCAAUUUUUACACACCUUUUCAUUUAAUUAUUUGAACCAAUUCUUACACGAAGUUCAAAAGAGGUCGACAGUUAGGCUGGUCAACAAAAGUCGACCAGUGGGGCCGAUCGGUCGACCAGCCCUGCUGGUCACUGGCCGACCCCCCCGUGGGCCGGUCAGACCCCCUUCGGUACCCUCCGACGAAGGUUCGAUCGAGUCACCACACCUCCCAUCAUUAUUCUCAUUGGAAGGAGAAGAAAGAAUAGUUUUAUAUGGCAACAAAAAAAGAUGAAGAGAAAUUCAAAGUAAGAUUUGAGAUUAAAAAGGAGAGAAAAUUUCCUUAGAAGGGAAAAAGCCUAGGAUGUUGAGAGGAAAAAAAGUGAUUUUUUGAAGUAAAAAUAACCCCUCCCCCCCCCCCUUUUAUAGACACAAGAAUUCAAACUUUUUGGGAGAAAAAUUCCCUCCAACAUUAGGACCAUUGAUGGGGUGCCAUGUGUACAGUAAAAUUGCUACUUAAUUUCGAUUGCAUUGCUCGACUUACUAAUACGAACUACUCAUUUAUCAUUUAAAAAAAAAAAAAUUUCAAACCAACCCAGAUAAAGAAAAUUGCUAUCCCUCGUCGAAAACAUCGACAAGGGAUAGGGGGGCUAAUGAUAUAGGUUGGUAGAUGAAGCCACCCUCGACGACAAGCAAGAUGGAUCAUUGCACUUCCAUGCAAAGCCAUCGACCCUUAAGGGGUGCUCUACCACUAUCCUCAAGUGGUGCUUGACCACCAUGCACGGCCAUCGACCCUCUAGGGGCGCUCUACCACUACCCCCAGGGGGCGCUCUACCACUAUCCCCAGAGGUCACUCUACAUCUAUGUGAAGUCUUCAACUGGCAUGGAAUUGCCUACCCAAAUACUUAGCCAUAAAAUCCCUAGUGAAUUGAUUAGGUUCCAUUGCGGUUAAUAUGGGUUCAACCACUAGACGGGAAGUUAAAGACCCUCCACUCAGAACGUGGGGGUAGUGGGAAUGUCAACGUGGGACACGUGGCACCACAACCGCCCAACGGUUAUCCAACUCCAAAUAUCUAUAAAUACCCUCGAAUGUGACACAGGUAAGGGGAUCUCUCUCUCUUUUUAGUCAUUUGAAUUCUAGUUGCCUUUUUUUCCAAAUCUAUAAACUAAUUCUCAGACCGAAGGUAAAAUAGGGGAGGAAGCCCCGCCUUCGUUUUCCAGGUCGCACACACUUGACGGAGUAGUUGGAAUGCCGAACGCCACCAGGUAGAUAGAAAAAUAUUGUUCCACAACCAUUUCAUCAAGCUUAUACAUUCAUAGUUAUAACCACUUCUCAUUACAUUUCGUUUGAUUUACUAUUAUUCCUCUUUAAAAAUCAUUUAUAAAUUUCCUGAAUGAAGGCUAAGUUAAUUUUUAACAAUCCGAUAUUCUUGCAUUGCUUAGAGUAUUACCUAAAAAAAUAGAAAGACAAAAACAAGAGAAGAAAUAACGUAUAGAAUUACGCUAACAGUGAGCUGUGUAAACAAUUUGAGUGGAUCCAUACUUCAUGGAUUGGAUUUGCUUUGCUGAAAGUGGAAAAGUACUUCUGUUAAAUUAGCCCAAACUAAACUUAGAAGUCUUCUGGCUACAGGCCCACGCUAGGCCCAAGAUCCAACUUUGGGUAAUUGUAAAAUGGGAAAAUCUACAUAAUUAUUAUAAUUUCAAGAUACACUUUAAAAAACAUAUAAAAUUCUUUCAAGAAUAAGAUGGUCACGUAUGUGACCACGUGAUAAAAUUUUGUAACUUGUUGAUUAAAUAGGUCAAAGUCAUAAUAAUAUAAAAUUUAUGGUAACGAUCACGUGCUAUUCACAAAUUAUAUCGUAAUUUGAUAACCAUUAUUCCAAAUCUCUUUAAUUCGCACUCCAUUUAUCACACAUUUAAAUAAUAAAAUAUUUUACACGUAAAUUUAAGUUUUUUUCUAAUUUUUAAUCACACAUUCUCCAAAAAAUCAUGAUUCAAAACAUUUUUUUCCACAAUAAUGGCUAUAAAAGAGGGGCCACAUAACAUAACAGACACAAGUCUUAAAUUAUCGAUUACAAAUCAUUGAUUUUCAUAAUUUAUUGAUCACAAAAUAUUAGUGAUGACAACGGGAUAAGGUAGGGAUGGCAAUCAGGCUCGUCGGCUCAGGCCGCUCGUAGCUCAGCUUGAGGUUCGAAGGCACCGAGCCAAAGCUCAAGCCGAGCAUCAUUUUUGAGGGUUGGCUCGAGCUAGGCCGGCCCGUAUUAUUAUUGAAAGGGGGGAGGGGGGAAUCUGCUACCUGUUUGGCAGCUAUUUGCAGCUAAACUGCUUAAAGCUGUCUUAACCGGCAGCAAAUCUACUGUCGGUUGGCAGCUAAAACAAGUUUCCAAACAGGCAGCAAUAGGUAUUUAAAAAAAAAAAAUUCCAGAAAUUGAGCUCCCCCUGGUUGGCUAGGUAAAGUCCAAGCCGAAAGUUCGGGUCGAGCCUUUAUUUUUCGACCGACCUUUUGCUCGGCCUUACUUGCCCAAAAAAAGCCCGCCUUGGAAGAGUUCGAGCCGAGCCCAAGCAAAAUUUUUUGGCUCGCGAGCCGGCUCAGCUCGUUGACAUCCUUAGGGUAGGGGCAACCUCCCUCAUCCCGCCUCACCCCGCCCCGCCUCCGCACCAUUAUUCAUUUAAGGCGGGGCGGGGUUUUGACCCAUUUGGUACAUCUUUUCUAAAGUUUUUUAUAAUUCAUUUUAUUGCCCCAAUUUAUUAAAGUGAGACAAUUAUAUAUUUAUUAAAUUUUUAAAGUUUAAUUAUUAAAAUAUAUUUGAUAAACUAAAAUUUUUAUUGUUUGUCAUAAUUUUUAGAUAAUCUGAAUUGUCAUUUUCUAUUAAAAUUUCAUGAAAUUUUGCAUUUAAAAUAUUGAAUUCUUCAAAAAAAAAAAAGGAGCGAGGCAGGGGCGGGACCCUUGUAACCCGUACCACCCGAGGGCGAAGUCCCUGCCCGUUCCCGACCAGAAUACCCAAAAGCGGGUGGGUUUGACUAUUUUCUUUUGCCAUCCUUACAAAUUGUUAAAUUAAAAUUACUCUUUCAUCUUUCCUACACCACCCAAAUCAUCGUCGGUACCUCAAAUCCAUAACCCACGACCACUUUUACCUCAAAUCCAUAAUAUCUUUUUUUUUUUUUUUUGCCACCCAAACCGUUGGAAAUAAAUUUUAUUGGCGACAGAAUCACACCGCCGUCUCACUCCCUACCUUCGACAGGCCUCAUUGCACAAACUGGGAGCCUAACGCCCCUAAAACCAUGAGAAUUGCACGAUUUUUGUGUUUGCAUAUUGUUUUGACUGCAAUUUGGUUUAGAUUUGAAGCUUAGCCAGGCGGCCAUUACGAGGAAAUCAAUGAACACAAUAUUUCUUUGGUAGUACUUUUCUCUCUUAAUUGUGUUUCAACAUAUUUGGAAACGUUAGAAACUAGAACUCUCCAUACAAAUUUUAGUCAAUUCAAACAAGUGCUAAACUAUGACCUUUAAAAUGUUACAAUCUAACCUCUAUGUUCAGUAAGAUGGACAAAUAAUCUCUAAACUAUCUAGGGCCAAAUUGAGAUGAUUUAUUGAGGACUGAAAGAGAUAAUAUUACAAACAAAGAUUUAGUUUAUUAAAGCAUUUUCAAGAGAUUCUUGAAACAUAAAAUUCUCAUUAUUUUAAAAAGUCAACCCUUAAAAUUUUUCUCCAAGAGCCUUUUUAAAUUAACAUUUUAAAACAUUUUCAAGAGAUACUCUAUUUUUAAAGAGCACAUUCCAUCAUUCGAAAAAAAAUUAUGAAUUUAGACAGUUGAAAUUUUGAAGUACUCCAACAAGUUAAUUUUACUAAUCACAAAAAAUAUUUAUUAUUAUUUUUUAAUUUUUAUUUUAACUAGUUUUUUUCUAUAUUAUUUUAUUAUUUUUAUAUUUUAAAAAUUGAAAUACUUUAAAUACAUUUAAUUAUAGAGAGUGAGUUUGGCUCUCCAAAACUCACUCUCUAUUUUGUCACAAUGGUGGAGCCAAGUGAGGGCAAGUGGGUAAGAUCUCACUGAAAUUUGAGAAAAAAAAAUUUAUAUGCCUUUUCAAGUUAUUUUUAUUUUAAAUACUAUUUAUAUUUAUGAAAAGUUUUCCGAAGUUAAAUUAAGCUCCAUUGAAUUCGAAUCCUAGCUUCGUUAUUGCUUUGCAAGUGCAAAUUUAGAAAACAAAGACUUAAUCAACUAAGUCAAUUACAAGUGUAACUAAUUAAUAAAAUUUUGCCCCCGAGACAUAGUCCAGUGGUGCAAUUGACAGAAGUGAGAUUAUCUCACAUCUUGCUGACAGCCGCAGUGUAGGGGUUCGAUUCCUGAGAUAUGGAAUUGAACUCCUUGUAGACUCAGUGUACAUGCAACUCUUGUUCUCUGGCCUACUGUGACACAUCCCGUGAUUUACCUCCCUCACAAGACUCUAAGGAUGGAAUGGUAGGAGCCCUCAAGAUGGGGUUCAACCUUUUUUUUUUUAAUUAAUAAAUAUCAUAAACUAAUCACACAAUAAUAACAAAAGACUCCCGUACACUGGCUACAAAAGGCUUACAACUUGUAUUCAUCAGCUUGCUAAACAGACUUUUGACUGCAUCCAAUUAUUACCUUAUGUAAUCGUUCAUCAGAUCUUGACAAGUCAAAAUCCCACAAGGAUUAUUUGCACACUGUAAUCCUGUUCUUUUCACUUACUAAAUGAUUAGAAUUAUUCAUGCAGAACUAAUCCGCAAAGAUAUAUGAAUAAUAUAUGUAUCACACACACUUGUAGAAUGUUUAAUCUGCUUAAUAUUAUAAGUGCUUUUAAGCAGGGCAAAGAUUUCAAGGACACUUGGGCUUAUUUCCGUGUGUUCGUAGCUUAGCAUAACAGGGACACACAUUUUUGUUGCCAUAAGUUCCUGGCGGCACGCAAUGGCAUCUCAAGCAACAAGUUUUGCAUGCGCGAUGGCACAAAUUCUUUCUUGAUG